GCGUGGUUUAAAAAAUGGCCUGAAGAAUGUAGUAAUGAGUAAUGUGUUAAUGUAUUUAUUAUGAUGAGAUUUUUGCAAUUAAAUAUGCAUGAAAAUGUGUUGACUUUUGUCAGAAUUGUUCCUGUCAGCCUUUAGCGUGCAUAGAUCUGCGUCAACUAGAAAUCUGUUAUCAAGGGUUCCUCCAUGUUAGUUUACCAAGAUGGCAAUUGUUUGAUCCUGAAUAGCGAG